GGCGGCGGUCAUGGGUUCUCCCCAGUCGGCAGAUCGCCGGUGAUCAUCGUGCCGAUA
rnacentral:rRNA from 1 species